rnacentral:lncRNA from 1 species
UUUUUUUUGUUUUUGAGAUGAAGUCUUGCUCUUGUCACCCAGGCUGGAGUGCAAUGGUGUGAUCUCGGCUCACUGCAACCUCGACCUCCCGGGUUCAAGUGAUCCGUCUGCCUCGGCCUCCCAAAGUGCUGGGAUUACAGGCGUGAGCCACCGCGCCCGGCCAUUCCUUAAUGUUUAACACCCAGUGCAUAUUCAGAUUUUCCCAGUUGUCCGCAGGAUGUCUUUUAUAGCUGCUUUCUUCAAACCAGGAUCUAUUCGGAGACCACACAUUGCAUUUGAUUUUUAUGUCUUUUGAGCCUUUUAAAAUUUAGAGCAGUUCCCUAUAACCCCUUCUUUUGUUUGUUUUAUGAAAUUGGCUUGUUGAACUUCACAAAACACGAGUUGGGGUCAUGCCAACUGUACCGUUAGUGAUUAGUUUACAUAUAGGGAAAAUAAUUUGUGAAUGUUGGUCCAUUCACUCUGCCAGCUAUACCAUGGCAGCAUUUCCAGUAUCAGGAAAGCAAACCAGGGGAUCUAAAACUGAGCAUUAAAAACUCUCCCCUAUCCAGUGAAAGAGAUAAGAAUGCCAGUUGUGAGAAAAUUGAAGGGGAAACGGAGAAUGUCAGUGUUAAAGAUAUUUGAACUUUUUUUUUUUAUCCAUUUGAAAGGUAUUUUUUUUGGGUGAACUAUUUGUUAAUAUUCUUGGUCCUGUAAAAAAAAAAUUGGUGUUUGGACUUUUUCUUAUUGUAGACACUCUUCAUAAAUUAAGGAAAUUCGCCUUUUUUUGUUAUAAUAUUGCAGACUUUUUUUUUUUUUGAGAUGGAGUCUUGCUCUGUCGCCAGGCUGGAGUGCAGUGGCACGAUCUUGGCUCACUGCAACCUCCGCCUCCCAGGUUCAAGCGAUUCUCCUGCCUCAGCCUCCCGCGUAGCUGGGACUACAGGCGUGUGGCACCAUGCCCAGCUAAUUUUUGUAUUUUUAGUAGAGAUGGGGUUUUACCAUGUUGGCCAGGAUGGUCUCGAUCUCUUGACCUUUUGAUCCGCCCGCCUUGGCCUCCGAAAGUGGUGGGAUUACAGGCAUGAGCCACUGCACCCGGCCUGCAGAUAUUUUUUUCAGUUAGCUACUUUUCUUUUCACUUUAUAGUAUUUUUUUACUUAAUUGUGGCACAAUACACAUUAGUGUUUUAGCCAUUUUAAAGUAUACAAUUUAGUGGCAUUUCAUACAUUCACAGUGUUGUGCAUCCAUCACUGCUGUCUAGUUCCAACAGAUUUUAAUCACUUCUAAAAGAAACCCUGUACUCAUUCCCUUUGCCCUCUAUCCCAUGGCUACUAAUUUGCUUUCUGUUUAUGGAUUUGCCUGUUCUGAAUAUUGUAUACAAGUGGGAUCAUAUAUAGUAGACCCUUGAGGAAUGGGGGGGUUAGGGUCACCAACCCCUCAUACAGUCAAAUCUGCAUAAAAUUUUUAAUUCCACCAAAACUUAACUAAUAGCCUACUGUUGACUGGAAGCCUUACCAAUAACAUAGUCAAUUAACACAUACUUUCUAUGGUAAUUUAUUAUCUACUAUAUUCUUGCAAUUAGCUAGAGAAGAAAAUGUUAUUAAAAAUCAGAAGGAAGAGAGAGUAUAUUUACGAUUCAUUAAAUGUAAGUGGAUCAU